rnacentral:rRNA from 1 species
AGUGAACGCUGGCGGUAGGCCUAACACAUGCAAGUCGAACGGCAGCACAGUAAGAGCUUGCUCUUACGGGUGGCGAGUGGCGGACGGGUGAGGAAUACAUCGGAAUCUACUUUUUCGUGGGGGAUAACGUAGGGAAACUUACGCUAAUACCGCAUACGACCUACGGGGGAAAGCAGGGGAUCUUCGGACCUUGCGCGAUUGAAUGAGCCGAUGUCGGAUUAGCUAGUUGGCGGGGUAAAGGCCCACCAAGGCGACGAUCCGUAGCUGGUCUGAGAGGAUGAUCAGCCACACUGGAACUGAGACACGGUCCAGACUCCUACGGGAGGCAGCAGUGGGGAAUAUUGGACAAUGGGCGCAAGCCUGAUCCAGCCAUACCGCGUGGGUGAAGAAGGCCUUCGGGUUGUAAAGCCCUUUUGUUGGGAAAGAAAAGCAGCAGGUUAAUACCCCGCUGUUCUGACGGUACCCAAAGAAUAAGCACCGGCUAACCUCGUG